rnacentral:sRNA from 2 species
CGAAGCCGGGUUUGGGAUCUCAGGGUGCUUGCAGAGGACAUAAACAACAAGUUGAAAAGCAGAGGCUGUUGUCUCGUGCCCAGCAGAAAGAAAAGUCACGAUUUGGUCAACAAGUUCCCGGUUGGUAAAUUCCCCACUUUCCAUCGCAACAGAAAAUAUAUCUAUUAUGUGUUCUCCCUCUUUCUUCUCUAUCAUCUGCCGCUUAUCCUGGAGAAGGCGUUCGCAGAAGUUACGGACGUAUUGAACACCUCGAACAUCGCGGUUUGUGUUUUACCAGUAAACGGGUGAAAAGUCUUGGGCUAAUAAGAGAGGGAAAAACCUAGACAAACAAAGUAAACGCUGGUAGUGAUGGGAAAAAAUUUUCUACAUUCAAUAAUAAGCCUGCUUGUCGGGUUCAGGAUUGAGUUGAAAUCAUAGCCCAUUCCAACAAGGCCGAUAACAUCCAGAGUAGUACGCUGUGCCAAAUCAGCAAUCCUAACGGCCUUUGGGUUUCGACCACCUUGUUCCAAAAGAUCUGAUGAAGACCCUUAUCGUGGCGGAACGAGAAGGCUGGUUUGAAAACUUUUCGUUGAUGCUUUCGUCACAAUGUUCUUGUUAGCUUGACGCCUCUCAUUGUUUUAUGAAAGGACGCUCAACUCGGAUAGGAGCUCUUUUUGGCACCACGUUCAAAUGUAACCCGAAACAUUCCAUAUCAAAGAAGAUGUAACUCAAUCUAUGUAUAGUUAAGCAUGACACACUAUUAACCGGGGCUGAGAGAAAGAA